UAGUGUAACAGAACCAACCCUUAGCUGCUCUAGAAGAGUCUAGGGUCAAUCUACUCAGAUUAAGUCCUUAAAGGAAGGAACUGAAAGAGGUAGAGAUGAGUCACUGAGGACUAAGUGAUUCUUGAUAGAUUAUGAAGACUUAGAAGUCCUACAGAUUGGGACAAAGUCAAAUAUUGUUCCCAUUGUCAAAGAAAGUGGAAUCUGCAAAGGCAACUGGGCUUGACUUUAUUGGCAAAAUACUGGAAUAUUAUCAACAAAUCAAUGGAUGGUGAAAGAAUAUCUAGAGGGGGCAGUUAAGAUGGCUCACUGGAUUGAGAACUGGACCUAGAAAUGGAAGGUCCCAAAUUAAGCCUCAAACAUUUCCUACCUGUGAGAUCUUAGGCAAGUCAUUUAAUUCCAGUUGGCUAGUCCUUACUGCUUCUUUGCCUUUGGCACCAAUAGACAAUUCUAAGACAGAAGAAUUCCAUAACCCUGUGGCACCAAGACCUUCACAGACAGACCUAAGUUAAUCAAUUCCACCUCUGAAACAAAGUUUUUCUGGCUGAAUACUGAGGUGGUGGGACAGGAGCCACUACCAUUCUUCAUGUCCCACUGGUUUCGAAAAACAACCAUGGAUUGAGAACUGGAAGAAUCCCUGAAGACUACCUACCUUAGUACAAUCUCCCCAUUGUACAAAUAAGGCCAUUGUAUCCCAAAGAGGUUAAGUGAUUUGCCAGUUCACAAAGGCAGCAAGUAGUAAAGACUAAACAUGAA